UUUCCAGGAGGGAGAUAUCUGUGCCCAGCAAUUGUGCCAAGCCAAGAAGGCAAAUUUUAAAGGCACAAACUCUCUCUCUCUCUCUUUCUCUCUCUCUCUCUCUCUCUCUCUCUCUCUCUCUCUCUCUCUCUCUCCCUCCCUCCUUCCCUCCCUCCCCCCCUCUCUCUCUGUAUGUGUAUGUGUGUGUGUGAUCCACGGAUUCAAGGAGCUAGUAGCGCAACCACCUCCUGGAGCAAAGGCAGGCCUGCCAGUAUGGUGAAAUGUAUGAACUGUCUGCCCAGGGAAACCCUCAAAGGGGCUACAUAAAAGUGUUCAACUUCAGAAUCUUCCAAAGUUAAGGGCAACACAACUGGGCUUACGGCUGUUGUCCUGGGAAAUGAAGAGAGCCAUCUUGGACUGGAUGUACUUAAGGAAGUUGACAGCUGACCACUGGGGAAGUGACACACCUGGCAACAUGGAAGAGAUAGUUACAUAGAGUCACACACUGAGGAAUGGCUUCAAUGAAUGAAUGGCAAAGGGAGGAGUUUCCCAGGGAAGCAAAGUUGAGAGACAUCAGAAGGACAUCAAAAGGACCUGUAACCCAUGAAAGUCUCGUUUUUACCUGAACAAUGGAAACAGAAAAAACAACAGCCUUUUACAUUUGGCUUCCUGACAAGUGCAGGUCUUACACUCUUUCUGUCCCCACUUCCACUGUUUUCCGAACCUGGGAGUGGUUGAGAUAGAUGUCGCAUUUAGGACUGAGCACUCCACAGACACUUGUCCUCAGUGCUCAGCCAGCUGUGAGUCUCUGCACUGACUGCUGCCCGCUGCAGAAAGGAGCUUCUCUGGCCACAGCUGAGAGCAGCGCUGACCUAUCUGCUGCUCCUCCUAGGACUCUGGUUUCCUGAGGAGGAAGGAAGGAUGAAAAGAUCAGUGACCAUCAGAGCGUCAGAGGCUCUCUCUCCCUCCCCCUCUCCUCCCUCUCUCCUUCCACCUCUCCUUCCCCCUCUCCUUCCCCCUCUACUUCCCCCUCUCCCUCUCUUUUUCCCUCUCCCUCUCCCUCUCCUCCGUCUCCUCUCCCCCUCCCCUCCCCUUCCCCUCUCCCUCCCUAUCCCCUCCUCUCUUUCCUUCUCUCUCCUUUUUGCAGUGUCAUGACCCUCAAGGGAUGGGUUCCAAGCUACUCCAUGGAUGCCUAGUAGUGCCGAGCUCUCCAAGUAUAUCUGCUGUAGUGUUUGAUAGACAUACAUGCUUAGAACCAUAUAUAUGGCACAGACAGA
rnacentral:lncRNA from 1 species